UGUAGACACACUGGGCGUUGUAAUUUUUGUUUGUUUAGUUAGUUGCUUGGUUUUUGAAAUAGCUUAUUUCUUGUUGACCUGAUUAAUUUGUUGUUUGGUUAUUGAGGCACGCAGCUUCUUUGUUGGUUGGUUAGUUAGUUGGUUAUUUGAUUUUUGAGACACGCAGCGUACUCACCACACCACUCCCAUUGAUUCAGUCUGAAACCCAGUCCAUGGGAUAUGUCACCUUCCGGGCUGCACCAGAGACAGCAAGGACCACUAGCUGGUUGGUAAAAGUGCCCCACAGCUUGAUUGGUUCUAACCCCACUUCCAUCCAGUCAUUUUGGUUUUGGUGUUUGUUUGAAGAGUUUCUCUGUGUAGCCCUGGAUGUCUUGGAACUCACUCUGUAGACCAGGGUGGCCUUCGAUACCACUUUGAGUCUAAUCUUGGGCUCCUGGACAAACUUGCCUUGUCUAGAAAUCAUUUGUCAAGUCCUUGGGCCCUUGCUUCCCACUACAAAGUGAAGAUUGAGGCCUUAGCAUAGCUGUCUGACAGCUGAAGAAGCUGUAGUCUGCAGAAGCCUCUGACUUACUAUUGACAAUGUCCACAGGCCUGCAUCCCACUGGUAGUGCUGGUGCAGCCACGAAAGCCUUGGGGAUGCUGGAGGAGCUGCUUCCUGAGUGAUCCUAUUGGGCCCAGUGUUUAUAGAGUCUGAACAGCUCUCCAUGUGCCCUGGCUCUCAAACACUACUAGCAGAGACAGUACCCCAAGAAGUUGUGAUCAUGGCAUUGACAGCUGAAGGAGAUACUGAAAAGUCCCUAGAGUGGUCAGGGAACAAAGAAAAAGGGAGGUGGAGGCGCUGAGAGUUUCAUUUACAAUGUUGCGACCCCCACACACGGUUACCACCCACUGCUGUCAGACAUGGAGAGAAACAAAAGCUGCUGAAGACCAACUUUUAACAAGGAAAGUGGAGACAUUAGACAGUUCCAAUUACAACGUUCCUUUCACCCUCCCCCAACACUGUCACCACUCAUUGAAGGAAACAAAAGCUGCUGGAGACCAACAUUUAACAAGUUUGCCUACCCAGGACUUCCAACCAGGCAGCACAGAGAGCACGCAGUCAGUUGAAGAAUAUCCGUUUUUCCACUUGGCAGUCCAAUCCCUGCAGGUAAAUGUGUGUCCAUGUGUGUCUGCGUCCAUCCCCACACGCACGUGCCAUGGAAGUCAGGAGAGAGCACUGGAAUCCCUGGAGCUGUAACUACGGUCGGAUGUGAGCUGCCUGAUGUGGUGUUAGGGACUAGAUUCAGGUCCUCUGGAAGAACAGCAAGUUCUGGGGAGCCAUCUUUCCAGCUCCUGGCUCUGCUUCUGAUGUUUGGUCGCAGACAGCCCUCAAACCUACAUCUGACAAGCCAAGAGCACCGGCCUGCUCCACUGAUAUCUGGGAAAUUCAAAGCUCAUACAGAAACUAUUAAAGCCAGUCCUUCCUUA
rnacentral:sRNA from 1 species